rnacentral:rRNA from 1 species
UAGGGAAUAUUGGACAAUGGGCGAAAGCCUGAUCCAGCAACGCCGCGUGCACGAUGAAGGUCUUCGGAUUGUAAAGUGCUUUUAAGGGAGAUGAGAAAGGACAGUAUCCCUUGAAUAAGCCUCGGCGAACUACGUGCCAGCAGCCGCGGUAAAACGUAGGAGGCAAGCGUUAUCCGGAUUUAUUGGGCGUAAAGCGCGUGCAGGCUGUUUGGAAAGUUGGAUGUGAAAGCUCCUGGCUUAACUGGGAGAGGUCGUUCAAAACUAC